rnacentral:rRNA from 1 species
UGGAGCACGUGGUUUAAUUCGAUGCAAACCGAAGAACCUUACCUGGGUUUGACAUGUACGUGGUACGGAUCUGAAAGGUGAAGGACUUACUCUUCGGAGUGAGAGCGUACACAGGUGCUGCAUGGCUGUCGUCAGCUCGUGUCGUGAGAUGUUGGGCUAAGUCCCGCAACGAGCGCAACCCCUGCAUUCAGUUGCCAUCGGUAAGGCCGGGCACUCUGGAUGGACUGCCGGCGACAAGCCGGAGGAAGGUGGGGACGACGUCGAGUCAUCAUGGCCCUUAUGUCCAGGGCGACACACGUGCUACAAUGGCCGGCACAACGGGAAGCGAAGGGGCGACCCUGAGCGGAUCCCACAAAAGCCGGUCUCAGUUCGGAUUGCAGUCUGCAACUCGACUGCAUGAAGUUGGAAUCGCUAGUAAUCGUGGAUCAGCCAAGCCGCGGUGAAUACGUUCCCGGGCCUU